ACUCAAAUGAAUUGACGGGGGCCCGCACAAGCGGCGGAGCAUGUGGCUUAAUUCGACGCAACGCGUAGAACCUUACCAAGGCUUGACAUGUGCGGAAAUCUCGCAGAGAUGCGGGGUCCGUAAGGGUCGCACACAGGUGGUGCAUGGUUGUCGUCAGCUCGUGUCGUGAGAUGUUGGGUUAAGUCCCGCAACGAGCGCAACCCUCGUUCUAUGUUGCCAGCGGGUUAUGCCGGGGACUCAUAGGAGACUGCCGGGGUCAACUCGGAGGAAGGUGGGGAUGACGUCAAAUCAUCAUGCCCCUUAUGUCUUGGGCUGCACACGUGCUACAAUGGCCGGUACAAAGGGCUGCUAAACCGUGAGGUGGAGCGAAUCCCAAAAAGCCGGUCUCAGUUCGGAUCGGGGUCUGCAACUCGACCCCGUGAAGUCGGAGUCGCUAGUAAUCGCAGAUCAGCAACGCUGCGGUGAAUACGUUCCCGGGCCUUGUACACACCGCCCGU
rnacentral:rRNA from 1 species